CAUGUGGUUUAAUUCGAAGACAACGCGAAGAACCUUUACCAGGUUCUUGACAUCCCGAUGCUAUUUCUAGAGAUAGAAAGUUACUUCGGUACAUCGGUGACAGGUGGUGCAUGGUUGUCGUCAGCUCGUGUCGUGAGAUGUUGGGUUAAGUCCCGCAACGAGCGCAACCCCUAUUGUUAGUUGCCAUCAUUCAGUUGGGCACUCUAGCGAGACUGCCGGUAAUAAACCGGAGGAAGUGGGGAUGACGUCAAAUCAUCAUGCCCCUUAUGACCUGGGCUACACACGUGCUACAAUGGUUGGUACAACGAGUUGCGAGUCGGUGACGGCGAGCUAAUCUCUUAAAGCCAACCUCAGUUCGGAUUGUAGGCUGCAACUCGCCUACAUGAAGUCGGAAUCGCUAGUAAUCGCGGAUCAGCACGCCGCGGUGAAUACGUUCCCGGGCCUU
rnacentral:rRNA from 1 species